rnacentral:rRNA from 1 species
CAGCUCUCCGAGUGGUGUGGAUACUUAUUGGGCCUAAAGCAUUCGUAGCCGGCUAGACAAGUCUCUCGUUAAAUCCAGCGUUUCAAUCGUUGGGCUGCGAGAGAUACUUUUUAGCUAGGGGACGGGAGCGGUCGACGGUAUUUCCGGGGUAGGGGUGAAAUCCUAUAAUCCCGGGAGGACCACCAGUGGCGAAGGCUGUUGACUAGAACGUGCCCGACGGUGAGGGAUGAAAGCUGGGGGAGCGAACCGGAUUAGAGACCCGAGUAGUCC